UACAGAGGUCUCAAGCGUUGUUCGGAUUCAUUGGGCGUAAAGGGUGCGUAGGCGGCCUUGCAAGUCGGGUGUGAAAGCCCUCAGCUCAACUGAGGAAGUGCGCCCGAAACUGCUCGGCUUGAGUACCGGAGAGGAUGGCGGAAUUCCCGGUGUAGCGGUGAAAUGCGCAGAUAUCGGGAGGAACACCAGUGGCGAAGGCGGCACUCUGGGCCAGUACUGACACUGAGGAGCGAAAGCGUGGGGAGCGAACAGG
rnacentral:rRNA from 1 species